rnacentral:rRNA from 1 species
AGGGUUUGAUCAUGGCUCAGAUUGAACGCUGGCGGCAGGCCUAACACAUGCAAGUCGAACGGUAACAUAAAGAAGCUUGCUUCUUUGAUGACGAGUGGCGGACGGGUGAGUAAUGCUUGGGAAUUUGCCUUGAGGUGGGGGACAACAGUUGGAAACGACUGCUAAUACCGCAUAAUACCUACGGGUCAAAGGGGGCUUUUAGCUCUCGCCUUUAGAGAAGCCCAAGUGGGAUUAGAUAGUUGGUGGGGUAAUGGCCUACCAAGUCGACGAUCCCUAGCUGGUCUGAGAGGAUGAUCAGCCACACUGGAACUGAGACACGGUCCAGACUCCUACGGGAGGCAGCAGUGGGGAAUAUUGCACAAUGGGCGCAAGCCUGAUGCAGCCAUGCCGCGUGUGUGAAGAAGGCCUUCGGGUUGUAAAGCACUUUCAGUAGGGAGGAAGGUUUAGUAGUUAAUACCUGCUAGAUUUGACGUUACCUACAGAAGAAUCACCGGCUAACUCCGUGCCAGCCGCCGCGGUAAUAC